AGCCUACAGCUUGAACCUGAAGGUGGUUUCUGUGUGGACAGCAGCCUGCAGAAACAGAAGCAGGAAUUCAAAGCAGAUCAAUCUGAGAUGCUUCGGUGAGUCCAGCAACUCCCAAAGGAACCAAAAUUCUUAACUUUCCAACUGACCAAUCUCAAGUGCAAAGGCUUUGAAAAGUCCUGCUGUCCCCUUAACUGGCUGGAGCAUGAGGGCAGCUGCUAGUGGAUCUCUCAAUUUGGGAUGUCCUGCAGGGAGGCUGACAAGUACUACCAGCUGGAGAAUGCCCACCUGGUGGUUAUCAAUUCUAGGGAGGAUCAGGUAGAACCUCUUGUCUUUAGUUCCCAAGACAUGUCUCAUUUAGGGAAAUGGUUAACAACCUUGACUAUACAUUGGAACCACCCCUGAGCCUUAGUAACUAUUUCCAUCUGAACCAUGCCCUCAGAAAUUUAAUUGGCCUGAGCAUUGGAAUAAAUAUGUGAAAUGCCUCAAUUGA